rnacentral:ncRNA from 1 species
GAUGUAUUCGUUUUUGUCUUUCUUCUUUUUCUUUUUACUCUUUAAUUAAGAGGCUUUGUCAUUUCAGAAAGAAAAGUAAGAACGACAAUAGCCUCCAAAAAUGGAGGCUUUUUUUAU